rnacentral:rRNA from 1 species
CGAGCGCAACCCUCGCUGUGUGUUACAAGUGUCACACGGAACUGCCGGUCAUAAACCGGAGGAAGGUGGGGAUGACGUCAAGUCAGCAUGGCCUUUAUAUCCUGGGCUACACACACGCUACAAUGGGAAGGGACAAUAGGUUGCGAAGCCGCGAGGCGGAGCCAAUCCAGCAAAACUUCCCUCAGUUCAGAUUGCAGGCUGCAACUCGCCUGCAUGAAGUUGGAGUUGCUAGUAAACGCAGGUCAGCCAUACUGCGUUGAAUACGUUCCCGGGGCUU